rnacentral:sRNA from 1 species
GCUGGGCAUGGUGGUGCAUGCCUAUAAUCCCACCGACUUGGAGGCUGAGGCAGGAGGAUCAUAAGUUUGAGGUCAGUCUAGACAAAUUAGUGAGAUUCUGUCUCAA